rnacentral:rRNA from 1 species
UACGUAGGGGGCAAGCGUUAUCCGGAUUUAUUGGGCGUAAAGAGCGUGUAGGCGGCUGGGUAGGUCCGUUGUGAAAACUCGAGGCUCAACCUCGAGACGCCGAUGGAAACCCUCCAGCUAGAGUCCGGAAGAGGAGAGUGGAAUUCCUGGUGUAGCGGUGAAAUGCGCAGAUAUCAGGAAGAACACCCGUGGCUAAGGCGGCUCUCUAGUACGGUACUGACGCUGAGACGCGAAAGCGUGGGGAGCGAACAGG